rnacentral:rRNA from 1 species
AUUGAACGCUGGCGGCAGGCCUACCACAUGCAAGUCGAACGAGUGGCGGACGGGUGAGUAAUGUCUGGGAAACUGCCUGAUGGAGGGGGAUAACUACUGGAAACGGUAGCUAAUACCGCAUACCAUCGGAUGUGCCCAGAUGGGAUUAGCUAGUAGGUGGGGUAAAGGCUCACCUAGGCGACGAUCCCUAGCUGGUCUGCGAGGAUGACCAGCAACACGGGAACGUAGACACGGUCCAGCCGUCUAUGGGAGGCAGAAGUGGGGAAUAUUGCACAAUGGGCGCAAGCGUGAUGCAGCCAUGCCGCGUGUAGGAAGAAGGCCUUCGGAUUGUAAAGUACUUUCAGCGGGGAGGCGUUACCCGCAGAAGAAGCACCGGCUAACUCCGUGCCAGCAGCCGCGGUAAUUC